rnacentral:lncRNA from 1 species
AAUCGGACCACACCCUUACAAAAAUACAGAGAAGCGGUGCAAAGAGAGGAGCGAAAAUCUUCUCCAAAAAAUCAAGCUUUCAUUCCCUCUUCUUCCUCCAUUGAGUCUCACUCUCACUCUCAAACGGAAGAUACACACAGAGAAACACCAAAGAUUUGAAAAACAAAUUUUUCAAAAUCUCAAAGAAAAUCAAACAGAUCUAAAUCCGAUAAAAAGAGUUCCAAACAAAAAUCAAAAACAAAAAGAAGAAGAAAGCUGGAAUUAGAGGGACUGGCAUCGAUUUCUCUUGGCUUGGCGUUGAUUUUCUGGGUUUGGUUGAGUUAUUUUGCUGAUGUUCUUCUCUGCUGGGCUUGAGAUUCAAAUCCUCUGUUAUUGGACCUUUACUCGGUCAGUUUCUUGCCAUUGUUUUGUUAUAAAAUAAUGUGAUUCUUACUCUUUCCAUUUUUUUACUAAAACAUUAAAAACUAUUGUUGUCUGCUUGUUGGGUGCAUGGUCUCGACUCUUUAUAAUUCCUUUAUUUGACCUUGAACUUGUACUGAAAUACUUUCUUUUUGGUUAUAGACUCCAGACGCAACAUGUAAUUACCUUGUGGAUAGUCUGCUUUCUCACACAUCAUUAAUAACUUUUGUUCCUAAAAGGAUUAAACCACUAGUAAUCGUUGAGCAUGAGCGAAAGAGUGGAAUUGCCACAUCAAUAACCUUCGCUUUGUAGUUAUUAUGUAUGGAUCACAUAUUGAAUAUAUCAGAUGAAUUCUACAACUCACAUCUCUAACAAACAUUUAAGUGUAAAGACACUUAAACAAAAGGGUCCAAUAUCUUACUCAGUUAGUUUCCUGUCAUGAUUUACUCGGUCCAUUUCUUAAACUCCUAAAGUCAGAUUCUCAUUUUGCACUUUAUUUUGUACUAGCUUUGGAGAUUAUGCUUAAAUAAAUUGUGGCCAUAUUAGUUAUCUUACAUGCGCUGGUACAUUUCCUUUGAUUUGAAAUUUUGGGUGUUUGGAUUUUGAAGGUUACCGUGCUUAGUUUUGUUUUUGGAAUACUUUAAAUAUUUAUGACUUGUAAUGUAAAGAUAAUAGUGGUGACAUGAAAGGAUACAUGUUUGAAAAUUAUUUUGUAAUAGAGAAGUUUCCUUUAAAAUUGCACCUUGUUAAUAAUGGGACAUGAAUAUAUUGUAUAUGCAUACGUAUAUAUGGACAGUAGGGUGUAUGACCUAGACCACGUUGAAGUUGAAUAAAGAAACAUUAAAUUUUGC